CCUACGGGAGGCAGCAGUGGGGAAUAUUGGACAAUGGGCGAAAGCCUGAUCCAGCAAUGCCGCGUGAGUGAUGAAGGCCUUCGGGUCGUAAAGCUCUUUUACCAGGGAUGAUAAUGACAGUACCUGGAGAAUAAGCUCCGGCUAACUCCGUGCCAGCAGCCGCGGUAAUACGGAGGGAGCUAGCGUUGUUCGGAAUUACUGGGCGUAAAGAGUACGUAGGCGGUUAUUCAAGUCAGAGGUGAAAGCCCGGGGCUCAACCCCGGAACUGCCUUUGAAACUAGAUAACUAGAGUCUUGGAGAGGUUAGUGGAAUUCCGAGUGUAGAGGUGAAAUUCGUAGAUAUUCGGAAGAACACCAGUGGCGAAGGCGACUAACUGGACAAGUACUGACGCUGAGGUACGAAAGCGUGGGGAGCAAACAGGAUUAGAUACCCUGGUAGUCCACGCCGUAAACGAUGAUAACUAGUUGUUCGGUCACUUGGUGACUGAGUGACCGNAGCUACGACAUUAAGUUAUUCCGUCCGUCGGGUAGGUACGGUCGCGAAGAAUUAAACUAACAAUAGAAGUUAGUACGGCGUGAGACGUAGCCGAACGGACGACGACGAGGGAGGUAGG
rnacentral:rRNA from 1 species